UCGAGAAUAUUCGACAAUGGGCGAAAGCCUGAUCGAGCGACGCCGCGUGCAUGAUGAAGCCCUUCGGGGUGUAAAGUGCUUUUUUCAGGGAGGAAUCCGCAAGGAUGACAGUACCUGACGAAUAAGGGGAUGCUAAUCACGUGCCAGCAGCCGCGGUAAUACGUGAUCCCCAAGCGUUAUCCGGAUUUAUUGGGCGUAAAGGGUUCGUAGGUGUCCUGACAGGUUUCCCGUUAAAUAUUUAAGGCUCAACCUUAAAGGUGCGGGGAAAACCGGCAGGAUAGAGGACGUUAGGGGCUGAUAGAACGGUCGGAGUAGGGGUGAAAUCCGUUGAUAUCGACCGGAAUACCAAAAGCGAAGGCAUUCAGCUGGGGCGAUCCUGACACUGAGGAACGAAAGCGUGGGGAGCAAAAAGG
rnacentral:rRNA from 1 species